rnacentral:lncRNA from 1 species
AAUGUUCGAUAAAAAGCCCACAAGAAAAUAACUGCUUUUAUCAUACCGGGACUCCAUCACAAUCACUUUUCAAAGAAAACCCACAACGAAGAAUGAAGAAAAUUGUAAGAAAAUCAGCAAAAUCACUGUCCUUUUCUUCGUGUGAUGGCUUCUGGGGAGGCUGAGAUCAAUGCGUCACGUAGCAGCAGGAAAUUUUAUAAACUCUAAAUCACAAACUCACGAGUAACAAUAAAAAAACAAUCUGAAGUCCAGAAAAGAGAAAAAGAGUAAGAAAGAAAAGUUCAUAAUAUAUGGUAUUUGUCUUGAAUCAACUUCUCCUCCGUGUUGGUGUAGCUCUCUUCCUUGUCUUCUUCUUCUUGUUCUUGUUGUAUGUAUAUCCGACGCCAAAAAAGAAUUCCACCAACCAUCUUGGCCUUCCAAAUCGAAUAAUGCAACAACCAAUUCCAAUCCCAACUAUGAUUCCACUUCCAUAUCCCAUCACCACACUUCUCCAUCCAAAUCCAUCUAUAAAUCCAUACUCAUCUUCUUCUUCUUCUUCUGGCUGCAUCUGCUGCUCAUUCUUCUCGUUGCAUUUUCUCGUCAACGGAAAUCCACACAAUCUCAAGUUUCCCGCGUAUGAAUCAUUCUCAAAUGUGG